GACGAACGCUGGCGGCGUGCUUAACACAUGCAAGUCGAGCGGAAAGGCCCUUUCGGGGGUACUCGAGCGGCGAACGGGUGAGUAACACGUGAGUAAUCUGCCCUUGGCUUUGGGAUAACCACCGGAAACGGUGGCUAAUACCGGAUAUGACGGGCUCCGGCAUCGGGGUUCGUGGAAAGUUUUUUCGGCCAGGGAUGUGCUCGCGGCCUAUCAGCUUGUUGGUGGGGUAAUGGCCUACCAAGGCUUCGACGGGUAGCCGGCCUGAGAGGGUGACCGGCCACACUGGGACUGAGACACGGCCCAGACUCCUACGGGAGGCAGCAGUGGGGAAUAUUGGACAAUGGGCGGAAGCCUGAUCCAGCAACGCCGCGUGA
rnacentral:rRNA from 1 species